GUCCUCACAGAAGCGAAAGAUCUCUCCGCAGUUGGCCAUUAAACACCCCUGCUAUUGAUCACGCACGCCGGCGGACGCUUCGACUCGAAGCAACCUCCCGCUCCUCCUCGCCCUCCUUUCUCUCGGGACUGCCGCUUGCUUGCUCCGCUGCUCGUGUGUGACUGUGAGAGGCCCCAGCACCAUGCCGAAACUCCCUUCAUAGCGGCUGCCGCUUGCUGGCUCCGCCGCUCGCGUGUGAGGGAAAAGUUAAAGCGUGUGAGAUGGCGACCCCAGCGCAAUGCCGCGGGCGAGCGACGCGGGGGAGAUGGAUUUGGGCGAUAUUGUGCUCUCCUGGUCGAUCCAGGACAUCAUCAACGAUGACCUCUACAAAGGGCAGGCUGAGGCUAUUCCUUGCAGCUUCCUCUCACUUGAUCACUAUCUCAAAUCUUAUCGCGCACCUCUGAUUGAAGAAACAAGGUCAGAUCUGUGCGCACGCCUUGAACUCAUCGUAGAAGGACCCUCUUCGAAAAUACUUUCUAUGGAGGCAACACAGAAACCGGAAGUGUACUAUAUGGAUGUGGACUUUGGGGAUUGUGGGGCGGUUUAUUCUGCGCAGGCUCAUACUUUAAGGCAUGGCGAUGUAUUUAUUUUGUCUAGCGUGAAACCUGAAGCUGCGGAGGACUUCAGUCGCUACGGCGUGACAUAUUACUUGGCAAUGGUUACCGACGUUUGCAUGGAUGAUGAUGAUGAAUGUCAGAAGCAUUUCAAAAUCAAGGUUGGAAAAGAUAUUGGCUUGGAAGAAGACUUACAAAAACUCAGAUAUGCAAUAUUUCUCAGUAAUAUCAUAACAAACAUGUGGAUAUGGAAAACACUGAGCUUUGACAAGCACAUGAAUGACAAUUUCACAGUGAUCGAGUCUCACUUAGCCCCCACAAAUUCGGGUGGUGAUGUCUGUGGUAUCUGUGCUAAACAUGGUGGGGAACAUUUGGCUUGUUUUACAGAGCAAUUAUUACCGAUGAAUCUUAAUAAAUCGCAAAUGGAUGUUAUUGGAUCUGUCAUCUCAGUUGUAAGAUGUAGGCAUCUGAACCUCAUGAAGCUUAUACAAGGUCCACCAGGUACUGGAAAGACCCACACUGUAAGUGCUUUACUGUGGGCUUUGGCUUCUAUGAAAUGCAGAACUCUAACAUGUGCUCCCACAAAUGUUGCUGUAAUUGGGGUUUGCACUCGUAUCCUUCAAAACUUCAAGGAUUUCAACAAAAAAAUUGAUGACAAUGGUCUACCCUUUUCUCUUGGAGAUGUCUUGCUAUUUGGGAACAAGUAUAAGAUGGACAUAACCGGAGAUCUUCGGGAAGCUUAGAUUUUCAUCUGAAUGAACUUGUUGAAUGCUUUUCAUCAUUGUGUGGAUGGAGGUGCCAACUAACUUCGAUGAUAUCAUUUUUUGAAGACUGUGGUUCUCAGUAUGAUAGGCUUCUUGAGGAUGAUGGAAAUAGUGAUGCCGUGUCCAAUCUGGACUUCCUAAAGAAGCAAUUCAAUGUGACAGCAAUCUAUACCUACUAAUAAAAGAAAUAGUUCUUACCGGUUGCAUCAUAUGGAGAUUGAACCCCUCGAUGUGUUAAUUGUCAAUGAGGCUACGCAAGUGCGAGAAUGUGAAUUGGUGGUCCCACUACGUCUGCAUCAGUUGAAGCAUGCUGGUUUGCUAGGAGAUGACUGCCAGCUGAGUGCAAUGGUUAAAAGCCAGAAGCUGGAUUCGGAAUAAGUCUUUUUGAGAGAUUGGUUAUGCUGGAUUUCGAAAAGCAUUUGUGUUGAAUAUACAGUACCGCAUGAGUUCUUGUAUCAGCUCAUUUCCAAUUGGUCAGUUUUAUGAGAGGAAGAUUUUAGGUGGUCCAAAUGUCGUGUCUCCUUCCUAUAAUAAGGAAUACACAAGCCUCCCUUUUGGCAGCUACACUUUUAUAAAUGUCACCGAUGGAAGGGAAGACAAAGAUGGCACUGAAAACAGUUGGAGGAACAUGGCUGAAGUUGCUAUCGUUUUGCAUCUGAUCCAAAACAUCUUAAAAUCCUGGAGAGGGUCAGCAGGCCAAGGGCUCAGUAUCGGUGUGGUCUCUCCAUAUAGCUGUCAAGUUGGUGUAAUUAAAGAUAGACUCGGCAACAAAUACGAUACAUGUGAUGGCUUUCAUGUGAGAUCAAGUCCAUUGAUGGUUUCCAAGGCGAAGAGGAUGAUAUAAUCAUAGUUUCAACUGUUGGGUCCAAUGGGAGUGGAGGUCUUGGAUUUCUUGCCGAUAACUGAAGAACAAAUGUUGCUCUUACUAGAGCAGGGUGCGCACCAAUUCUUUGGUUUGUUACCGUUCAGAGUAUGUUUGACUAUAGUAUAUAUAAAUAAGGUGGAUGUUUUAUUUGAUGUAGGCACUGCCUUAUAAAUAAGGUGGAUGUUUUAUUUGAUGUACGCACUGCCUUUGGAUUGUUGGAAAUGCUACAACGUUAUAUAAAAGUGGGACUGUCUGGAAAAACCUUAUUGAUGAUGCAACUAUGUGCAAGUUGGUUUUGCACGUAAAGCAAAAACUUGACGAGCUUGAUGAUCUUCUUAAUGCUGAUUCAGCAAUUUUCAGUAAUACUAGAUGGAAGGUAAGCACAAAAGUGAUGCUUAGUCAGUUUAACUUUAGACAUGCUUUCAUCAGUUCGCCUAAUUGUGAUAAGUUGGUUUUGUCAAUUAUGUGCACUGCACUUCUUCAUAUAUCUAUGUCUGGUGAGACUCAUGUUUACC